rnacentral:lncRNA from 1 species
GAAGGCAAUCUAGGGGCGCACCUUCCAUUUCAAAGGCAUGCCUAUGGUUGAAUGACAUCAUAUUACUAUGCUACAUGCAAAAGGCAAAGUAAGGGUGCACCCUUCGUUGCAUAGGCAUGCCCAUGAGUAUGAUAAUAUUAUUUUGGUAUACUAUAUGCAGUAUGCAAACUAGGGGCACACCCUUGAUUUUAGAGGCAUGCCUAUUGCUAAAACCAUUAUAUUGGUAGGCUAUGUGCACUAGUAAAGAGCACAACCUUGACACAUCCUUCACAAAAUUUGGUACAUCCUUCAUUAA